UGGCCGUGAGGGGGCGCGGCCGAACCGUGAGGGGACCGGCCCCGGCACCGGGACAGCGACCGGCACCGGGCUCCGGUGGCGGAUCGUGGAUCGCUGCCCUCACAGCCGGCUGCGGCAGCGCCGAGCCCGCCGCACUGAGAGCCCUCCCGGUGUCCCCACAUCAUGCCCGGGUCAGUCCUUCCCGCUGCGCCCCGCAGCCCCGUCCCAUCCCCUUCCCGCCGCGAAUAGCCCGGGAAUGGCGGCUGAGGGGAGCUGGGGCGGACACGGCACAGGACGAGUCUCUCGUGGGGCUCCUUCACGGAACAAGUGCGAGGAGUGGCAGAAAUAGUCCGAGAUUCAGCCUCUGGAGGAUAAACUUGGCUCUGCGGCUCCUUCUGAGGGAGGUUGUUGUCGCUUGUGUAGGAGAUGUACAAACAGAUUGCUGCAGUUACCCAAUUAAGAUUUCUGGCAGCCUUUGACAGCACAAAGGGAUGUCGAGUGUGGCUGAUCCACUGCUGUGCAGAUGCUGCCGAGCAAAGUUGUGACAGAGCUCGACCACAGAGAGCAGCAAAUCCGAGUGGGACGAAACCUGAGCGAAUGAGAAUCCUGCUCCCCGAAGAGAGAUCACCUUAUAUGGGAACACCACGGACAAGAGGAUGAACGCGUCCGGCCGGGCUGCUGAGACUCUGAGCCUGGAGGUCGGACCUUGAGAGCUCUGCACGUUUCCAGCCCCACCUCCUGUGUGUACAGUGUCAGUGGUGGCCUCACACCUCUCCUGCCCUGGACCAGAUGCACACAGCUGGCUCAGAACACACUGAGCAGCUGCAGCUUUGUGUGGCUGUGCAGCAAGAGAGGCACGGCCAAGGUAUGUGCCACCAGCUCUGCUGGCUCUGCUGAGAGGAGCAGUGGCUUCAUCACUCCUUUUUGGUCCCAGCACCUGAUAUAAAACCAGUCUAAGAACAGGUAGAAUGGUGUCCCAAGUAAUAUGAGAUAAGAAGCUGGACAUCUCUGUGGCCC